rnacentral:rRNA from 1 species
AAGCGACUAAGCGUACACGGUGGAUGCCCUGGCAGUCAGAGGCGAUGAAGGACGUGCUAAUCUGCGAUAAGCGUCGGUAAGGUGAUAUGAACCGUUAUAACCGGCGAUUUCCGAAUGGGGAAACCCAGUGUGAUUCGUCACACUAUCAUUAACUGAAUCCAUAGGUUAAUGAGGCGAACCGGGGGAACUGAAACAUCUAAGUACCCCGAGGAAAAGAAAUCAACCGAGAUUCCCCCAGUAGCGGCGAGCGAACGGGGAGCAGCCCAGAGCCUGAAUCAGUGUGUGUGUUAGUGGAAGCGUCUGGAAAGGCGCGCGAUACAGGGUGACAGCCCCGUACACAAAAAUGCACAUGCUGUGAGCUCGAUGAGUAGGGCGGGACACGUGGUAUCCUGUCUGAAUAUGGGGGGACCAUCCUCCAAGGCUAAAUACUCCUGACUGACCGAUAGUGAACCAGUACCGUGAGGGAAAGGCGAAAAGAACCCCGGCGAGGGGAGUGAAAAAGAACCUGAAACCGUGUACGUACAAGCAGUGGGAGCACGCUUAGGCGUGUGACUGCGUACCUUUUGUAUAAUGGGUCAGCGACUUAUAUUCUGUAGCAAGGUUAACCGAAUAGGGGAGCCGAAGGGAAACCGAGUCUUAACUGGGCGUUAAGUUGCAGGGUAUAGACCCGAAACCCGGUGAUCUAGCCAUGGGCAGGUUGAAGGUUGGGUAACACUAACUGGAGGACCGAACCGACUAAUGUUGAAAAAUUAGCGGAUGACUUGUGGCUGGGGGUGAAAGGCCAAUCAAACCGGGAGAUAGCUGGUUCUCCCCGAAAGCUAUUUAGGUAGCGCCUCGUGAACUCAUCUCCGGGGGUAGAGCACUGUUUCGGCAAGGGGGUCAUCCCGACUUACCAACCCGAUGCAAACUGCGAAUACCGGAGAAUGUUAUCACGGGAGACACACGGCGGGUGCUAACGUCCGUCGUGAAGAGGGAAACAACCCAGACCGCCAGCUAAGGUCCCAAAGUCAUGGUUAAGUGGGAAACGAUGUGGGAAGGCCCAGACAGCCAGGAUGUUGGCUUAGAAGCAGCCAUCAUUUAAAGAAAGCGUAAUAGCUCACUGGUCGAGUCGGCCUGCGCGGAAGAUGUAACGGGGCUAAACCAUGCACCGAAGCUGCGGCAGCGACGCUUAUGCGUUGUUGGGUAGGGGAGCGUUCUGUAAGCCUGUGAAGGUGUGCUGUGAGGCAUGCUGGAGGUAUCAGAAGUGCGAAUGCUGACAUAAGUAACGAUAAAGCGGGUGAAAAGCCCGCUCGCCGGAAGACCAAGGGUUCCUGUCCAACGUUAAUCGGGGCAGGGUGAGUCGACCCCUAAGGCGAGGCCGAAAGGCGUAGUCGAUGGGAAACAGGUUAAUAUUCCUGUACUUGGUGUUACUGCGAAGGGGGGACGGAGAAGGCUAUGUUGGCCGGGCGACGGUUGUCCCGGUUUAAGCGUGUAGGCUGGUUUUCCAGGCAAAUCCGGAAAAUCAAGGCUGAGGCGUGAUGACGAGGCACUACGGUGCUGAAGCAACAAAUGCCCUGCUUCCAGGAAAAGCCUCUAAGCAUCAGGUAACAUCAAAUCGUACCCCAAACCGACACAGGUGGUCAGGUAGAGAAUACCAAGGCGCUUGAGAGAACUCGGGUGAAGGAACUAGGCAAAAUGGUGCCGUAACUUCGGGAGAAGGCACGCUGAUAUGUAGGUGAAGUCCCUCGCGGAUGGAGCUGAAAUCAGUCGAAGAUACCAGCUGGCUGCAACUGUUUAUUAAAAACACAGCACUGUGCAAACACGAAAGUGGACGUAUACGGUGUGACGCCUGCCCGGUGCCGGAAGGUUAAUUGAUGGGGUCAGCGCAAGCGAAGCUCUUGAUCGAAGCCCCGGUAAACGGCGGCCGUAACUAUAACGGUCCUAAGGUAGCGAAAUUCCUUGUCGGGUAAGUUCCGACCUGCACGAAUGGCGUAAUGAUGGCCAGGCUGUCUCCACCCGAGACUCAGUGAAAUUGAACUCGCUGUGAAGAUGCAGUGUACCCGCGGCAAGACGGAAAGACCCCGUGAACCUUUACUAUAGCUUGACACUGAACAUUGAGCCUUGAUGUGUAGGAUAGGUGGGAGGCUUAGAAGUGUGGACGCCAGUCUGCAUGGAGCCGACCUUGAAAUACCACCCUUUAAUGUUUGAUGUUCUAACGUUGACCCGUAAUCCGGGUUGCGGACAGUGUCUGGUGGGUAGUUUGACUGGGGCGGUCUCCUCCUAAAGAGUAACGGAGGAGCACGAAGGUUGGCUAAUCCUGGUCGGACAUCAGGAGGUUAGUGCAAUGGCAUAAGCCAGCUUGACUGCGAGCGUGACGGCGCGAGCAGGUGCGAAAGCAGGUCAUAGUGAUCCGGUGGUUCUGAAUGGAAGGGCCAUCGCUCAACGGAUAAAAGGUACUCCGGGGAUAACAGGCUGAUACCGCCCAAGAGUUCAUAUCGACGGCGGUGUUUGGCACCUCGAUGUCGGCUCAUCACAUCCUGGGGCUGAAGUAGGUCCCAAGGGUAUGGCUGUUCGCCAUUUAAAGUGGUACGCGAGCUGGGUUUAGAACGUCGUGAGACAGUUCGGUCCCUAUCUGCCGUGGGCGCUGGAGAACUGAGGGGGGCUGCUCCUAGUACGAGAGGACCGGAGUGGACGCAUCACUGGUGUUCGGGUUGUCAUGCCAAUGGCACUGCCCGGUAGCUAAAUGCGGAAGAGAUAAGUGCUGAAAGCAUCUAAGCACGAAACUUGCCCCGAGAUGAGUUCUCCCUGACUCCUUGAGAGUCCUGAAGGAACGUUGAAGACGACGACGUUGAUAGGCCGGGUGUGUAAGCGCAGCGAUGCGUUGAGCUAACCGGUACUAAUGAACCGUGAGGCUUAACCUUAC